ensembl:lncRNA
CGUGUGUGCACUAAAGCUUUGCAGUGCUGUGCCGUGUCCCUGUUGUCUGUACUUGCCCUCCAGGCCGAGAAAGGUUCCUGUUGGAAAGAACGUAGGCUGCCGUGGCGGUGCCCACCUAUUCCACCUACGCCCGCCUAUAACUCCGUUCUCUGGACCCAGCUUGAAGGUGAAGUGCGAAAGCAAAACAAGGAGGUCAAUGGGAGUGGAGGAGCUGUCCAGACGCUGGUGAAGCGCAACCCAAAGAGCAAAGAAGCUAGGAACAAGGCAUUCUUCUCCGUUUUAUCUAUUACUCAUUGUGUGUUCUGUUGCCUUCAGGAGAAGAGAAGGGCGCCACGGGAAAUCAAGCCGCUAAGGAAGGACUUAGGAUUAGUCAGGAGACUGGUAGAAGUUCUGGGAAAGGACGAAAGAGCCCUUUGCCCCCCCCCUCCCCUUGUGAUUACUUACCAAAGACCUCCAGAGUUCUCAGGCUUAGUUCCCUCCUGCCAAGAGACGAAGAUCCAAAUUUUAGAUUCCCCUUUUCUCCUUUCCUAGAUUACCUUUUUAAAUAAUUUAAAUAAAGUUGUUUUAAAUUACCCUUAACUUAUCUUGUGUGUCUGGUCCUUGGGGUGAUCUUGGGACCUCCUCGAGGUGGAAGUCGGGAAGGGGCGUGACUCGCAACAUCUGUGGUCCGCUCCGACCUGUGACAGACUUAUACUUACCUAGGAGGUCAAUGGGAGUGGAGGAGCUGUCCAGACGCUGGUGAAGUGCAACCCAAGGAGCAAAGAAGCUAGGAACAAGGCAUUCUUCUCCGUUUUAUCUAUUACUCAUUGUGUGUUCUGUUGCCUUCAGGAGAAGAGAAGGGCGCCACGGGAAAUCAAGCCGCUAAGGAAGGACUUAGGAUUAGUCAGGAGACGGGUAGAAGUUCUGGGAAAGGACGAAAGAGCCCUUUGCCCCCCCCCUCCCCUUGUGAUUACUUACCAAAGACCUCCAGAGUUCUCAGGCUCAGUUCCCUCCUGCCAAGAGACGAAGAUCAAAAUUUUAGAUUCCCCUUUUCUCCUUUCCUAGAUUACCUUUUUAAAUAAUUUAAAUAAAGUUGUUUUAAAUUACCCUUAACUUAUCUUGUGUGUCUGGUCCUUGGGGUGAUCUUGGGACCUCCUCGAGGUGGAAGUCGGGAAGGGGCGUGACUCGCAACACCUGUGGUCCGCUCCGACCUGUGACAAUACUUCUACCUAUUCGUUUGCAGAAUGAUCUCCAAAAAUCUCUUUUAGCCUUUCUGACCACUCUCCUUACCACUGCUUGAGCAGCUUUAUAAUUGAUUACAUUUUGAAAAUUAUGUGUGCUUUUCAGUUUCCUAAACGCUUUCCUUUUAUUUCUUAUAGCUUCAUUGCAAUCUUCAUUCCACCACGGAACCAUUUUUGACUUCCAAACCCUUCGCGAUAUAUUUCAAUGCUGCUCCCUUAAUUAUUUGAAAUAAUCCUUCUAUUUGUUUCAUCUAUACAGUCCCAAGUAUAGUGAUUAAUAAAGGGUAAUGAUCACUACCCAUUGUGCUUCUAUUAAUUCUUCGACUACCUGUCCAUUCACUACUGUCCCACCCCAAAGAGUGUUAUGCGCAGUAAAAUCUCCACACCAGAUAACUCUCUCAUCAUCUUGUCCUUCUAUUUUUCCAAUACAUUAAUUCCUAAUCUCUUGCAUGGGUUAUAGAAAUUUAUUAUAACAUACUUCUUCCCUUGGUCCCAUAUUUUAACUACUACAUACUCAACUGUUUCCCCUUUUCCUACCCCCACCCCCCACCCCCCGCCGCAUUACCUUCUUCUGGUGAAAUCUUUCAGCUGCCUUCACAAUCACUUGAAUCUUCUCUGUUCCCUUUUCCGUUUGAGCCAUGCAAUUAAAACUUCUGUCAUAUACAACACAAAACUCUUCUUACUCACCUCUAAAACAUCUUCCCUGACUCCCCUUGCUUCUUCCACCCUUAUUUAAUCUCUUGCCUCGCUUACAUUCUGUCUCCUUUUAUUGCCUUCUGCCUUCUACCAGAGAAGUGCUGGCCAAGAAUCUUCCUGACACUUUUGAGGACAAAUGACAGAAGGAGGUCUGAAAUCAAAUCGUAAAACAGCUACAAGAUAAGGUAACUGACCUGAAUAUGAAUUGGUAACACUUUAUUAAGGUUUCCUUUGUGAAGGGUUUAUAAAGGUAACCAUUAUUUACUAAUAAAACAUUUAGAAUUGCAUUAAAAACUAGAAAAAAAAAGUUUGUUGAGACAAACUUUAAGUUGGCUUGAGAAAGCCUGACCAGAAAGUUUGAAGAAGUUUAAAGUUAGAAGUUUAAAGUAGUUCGAAGUUUAAAGUAGUUUAAAGUUAGAUUGAUAGAUUAGUUGAAAGAAAGAUAUAUUAGUUAGAAAGAAUGAUAGAUAGAUUAGUUCAAAAGAAAGAAUGAUAGAUUAGUUUGAAAGAAAGAAUGAUAGAUUACUUAGAAAGAGAUAGAUAAAGUUUGAAUAUAUAUAAGUAGAUAGAUUUAUAUAUUAAGAACUGCAAAUGUGGCCCUGGAUAUGCGUAAAUUAUAUGCGUAGAUAAUAAGUAGAUUGUAUGCGUAGAUAACUGGAUAUACGCAGAUAAUGAGUAAAUUAAAUUGCUAUUAUGAGAAACAAUUUGCCCUGCUCCUUCCAAAUUGCACAAAAAAUGCAUAUUCAAGACAUGUGGGGAUUAAAAAAAAAAAAAUCCCCCCUACAGAAUCAAAAUAAAUACUUUACGACUGUCACUAUAGAGCUGGUAAGUCCCGCCCAUCCGUAAAACCCCACUGGACCUCUAGGUGGAAAAUCAUCAAUGUCAUUAAUUUAUUUAAUGUGAAAAAAUAAUUUAAUUUCUGGUCACGUUUGAAUUGUGCCAUGAAUAUGAACAUAUGUUGUCUGUGAAUUUUUAAUAUAAUUUUUUGUGUGAAGAAUGCUACAAUUUAGCGGGUAGAAGUUUGAUACGGUUAGACUUUGUGUGAGAGGACUUUGUGGACUACAACUAGUUUUUACAUCAGACGGGAAUCUGAAGAAAGAACAGCCCAUUUGGUUUGAAUGGUGACAUUUGGGUACAAAACACACAGGCAUCUCGAUCUGUCUUAUCGCAGCAUUAGCAGCGUGAUUUGACAAGUGGAGGGAAAAUGUGUAAUGGGGUGACAUCACAUAGGCAACAUGUAGUCUUUCUCGUUAUGUCUUUUCCACCACUGCUAGCCAAAGAAUCAUACAAUAUACUGUCAAACUCGUAACAUGAAAAAUUAUAUUAAAAAAAAUUCACAGACGACAUAUGUUCACAUUCAUGACACAAUUCAAACGGGACCAGAAAAGAAUUAUUUUCUCACAUUCACUUUUUUCAUCCUAGAGGUCCAGUGGGGUUUUACGGAUGGGCGGGACUUACCAGCUCUAUCAAAGUGAAAUGUGCAAAUAAAUGAAAAGUGUUCUGGCAUACUGAGCUCAAUACCCAAUCAGAUGGCUGGUGAAUAAAAAAAACCUGCGGAUUCGCGGGAGUUUUUACCGCGUUCAUGCCAUGCGUUCAUGUGCCAUGUGUUUACCGCGUUCAUGCCAUGCCGCGUUCAUGCUCAUUGCACACUGAGUGAUACCACGGGCUCUGGUGAUACCAAUUCUCUCAUCAAAAACUGCAGCAGGUAAGAUUUUAUUUAUAAUCGUUUUGUUUUUCAUGUUACUAAAAUAACAAUGUCUUGAUUUUCUAAUGCUUAUAAAGCAAUCACCUAAUUCAUAAACGGUUGUUGACGUACCAGGCAUACAUGAUAUGGCCUUAAAAGGUUUAAUGUAUCUUUUAAUCAACAUCAAUCUUUAUUACAAUGUCAUGAGCAAUAAUCGACUAUAAUGAUGUGCAUUUGUUUUAUAUUUAAGCCAUACUCUGAAAUUAACUCCAUGGGCUAUAUAUAUAUAUAUAUAUAUACAGGGGUGCACAUAAUUUUUUCAGCCUGGUUCUCAUAAGAGAACCUGCAGAUUUGGUUUGGUCCUCACACUGCAUAUAGCUUGACCCAUUAAAUAUUAUAUAAUAUAACUAUAAAAAUGAAUUAAUAAUAAUUAUAAUAUUAUUACACUAUUUAUUUAGUUUUUUUUAAUUAAAUAAA